AGAGUUUGAUCCUGGCUGAGAUUGAACGCUGGCGGCAGGCCUAACACAUGCAAGUCGAACGGUAACAGAACUAGCUUGCUAGUUGCUGACGAGUGGCGGACGGGUGAGUAAUGCUUGGGAAUUUGCCUUUAGGUGGGGGACAACAGUUGGAAACGACUGCUAAUACCGCAUAUUGUCUACGGACUAAAGAGGGCUUCGGCUCUCGCCUUUAGAGAAGCCCAAGUGGGAUUAGGUAGUUGGUGAGGUAAAGGCUCACCAAGCCGACGAUCCCUAGCUGGUCUGAGAGGAUGAUCAGCCACACUGGAACUGAGACACGGUCCAGACUCCUACGGGAGGCAGCAGUGGGGAAUAUUGCACAAUGGGGGAAACCCUGAUGCAGCCAUGCCGCGUGUGUGAAGAAGGCCUUCGGGUUGUAAAGCACUUUCAGCGAGGAGGAAAGGUUAGUUGUUAAUACCAACUAGCUGUGACGUUACUCGCAGAAGAAGCACCGGCUAACUCCGUGCCAGCAGCCGCGGUAAUACGGAGGGUGCGAGCGUUAAUCGGAAUUACUGGGCGUAAAGCGUACGCAGGCGGCCAUUUAAGUCAGAUGUGAAAGCCCCGGGCUCAACCUGGGAACUGCAUUUGAAACUGGAUGGCUAGAGUGCGACAGAGGGCGGU
rnacentral:rRNA from 1 species